GACGAACGCUGGCGGCGUGCUUAACACAUGCAAGUCGAACGGAAAGGCCCUGCUUGCAGGGUACUCGAGUGGCGCACGGGUGAGUAACACGUGGGUUCUCUGCCCUGCACUUCGGGAUCAGCCUGGGACACUGGGUCUAAUACCGGAUAGGCGCCAUUUUCAGUGUGAUGGUUGGAAAGUUUUUUCGGUGUUGGAUGGACUCGCGGCCUAUCAGCUUGUUGGUGGGGUAAUGGCCUACCAAGGCGGCGACGGGUAGCCGGCCUGAGAGGGUGGACAGCCACAUUGGGACUGAGAUACGGCCCAGACUCCUACGGGAGGCAGCAGUGGGGAAUAUUGCACAAUGGGCGCAAGCCUGAUGCAGCGACGCCGCGUGGGGGAUGACGGCCUUCGGGUUGUAAACUCCUUUCGCUAGGGACGAAGCUUUUUGUGACGGUACCUAGAUAAGAAGCACCGGCUAACUACGUG
rnacentral:rRNA from 1 species